GGCGUCAUAGCUCAGUUGGGAGAGCAGCAGACUGAAGUUGUACUUCUUCCUUGGAGAUUCGACAAUCUGAAGGUCCCGUGUUCAAGCCACGGUGAUGCCA